CUCAGACUCAUUUGCCACUUCAUCCUCCUCCACCUCAGCAAUAAAUGUGGGGGUUUUUCAAGAUCAAGGUGUAUGUUACAGACAGACCUGCAUGCACAUCAGUGAAGAUGGCCUCCAGUUGUGGUGGCCUGAAAGCCGCCUCUCCUUCUGCCUUCUACCCUCUACCCUGCAGCAGAGAAUGGUCAGACCUCCAGCCAGAGGGCAGCCAGCAAAGACAGCAGCAGCCUUGGUGAGCUGAUGUUUGGAGCCACAGUGCCUGAACCUUGUAGAUACUGCAGUUUCUUUCACAGGGUCACUUUUAUAGUUUCUGCAGAACUUGAGGAUUAUUCAAGCUCCUCUAGUCUCUAAACAGUCAGAAAAGCAUUGUGAACCAGCGCUAAGCAGCAAGGAAAUCUGGGAGACAGAGACCUCAUCCCACACCAGGAAGGCCCAGGAGAGCAACCAAGCCUCUCCCAUGUUUGUGGCUGAAGUGUCUCCCUGUGUCUUUUUUGGACCAGAACUGGUUCAUUUCUCUGCAUAAAGGCCAGCGUACAAGAAAAGCAGGUUGAUGCGCCUCCCUAAGAGGAUAGAUGGUAGAUAGGCUCUGGGGUGUUUGUCUGUUUGUCCCAUACCCUGGAAGGUGGCUUUUGGACAAGUGCUACAUAAGGAAUUAUUGCUUUAAGAGUAAACUAGUGGCUCCAAGGGUAUAAACAUUUUUAAAGAUCCUGAAGUUUUUCUCAUAUUGUUCUCAAAGUUUUAG
rnacentral:lncRNA from 1 species